CAUGUUAGAGCAACAAAGUGAAGCAGGCUGAUAACUACAUAUUGUAUAGUCCUCUUCAUAAGGCCCUCACUGAUGUGAGGAAGAUUGGGGAGCUAAAUACAAAAAAAAACGCAAACGGUUCAGAGAAACCUGCUCCACUCUACUGAAUGAUGACUUGGGGCUUUUCAUGACCACUUAUUCAACAACUUAAUGGCAAAGACUGACCUUUUAUUCAGAACAGAACCCUAUCAAGGUCAGCCACAGGUGACCUUCGAUGAAGCUGGAUCUGUCUUUCCACUUCCACUUGCAUUCGAGCCAUGGGCCGAGCCAGGGCCAGAGCCACGCGAGCCUCCUCCUGCAGCCUCCUCUGGACCCUCCAGAAGCCCC